rnacentral:rRNA from 1 species
UCUGGCCGUCCCAACACGGAUGCACCUGAUCUCAGAAGCUAAGCAGGGUAGGCCUGGCUAGUACUUAGGUGGGAGAAUAAUUUUGAUUAACUUUCUGUGGGCCACAA